rnacentral:lncRNA from 1 species
AGAAAAGUUAAAAUGUAAAUUGAGGAAUGUAGUGAUUGUUGUGUUGUUUUGUUAAGUUUCCUUAUAUGUGAUUUGUUAUUUAUGCAUAGAAACAAGUCAGGUUCUAAGGAUUUAUUAUUAUUGUAAAUUAUUUAUUUAUUGAUCACGGCUUGUAGAUUGAAAUAUGGCUUAUAAGAUUGUUGAAUCUUCUCCAAAGAUUUUUAGUAAGGACUUGAACUUAACCCAGAUAACUGUACAGUACAGCUAUUUCUACUUGCAAUUGUCACAAAAUUGAAUAUUUAUUAUUUGAGGUCCAGUUGAGGUGUUGGGAAAGUUGAAAAAUACUCAUAUAUUAGGGGGGAAAAUGAUGCUAUUGCUAUAUGCAAUCCUUUCCUUCUAAUUGGAAACUCAACCAUUUUCAUAACUACAUAUUUUCUGAAACAUUUAUCAAUUAAUGUAAAAAAUAUUAUUGUUUCUCUUCAUUUCUUGUUAAUUAUAUAACUUUUGAGAUUUUUAUGUAUGUUGGAUUGCAAGAGAAACAUGUAAUAUGAUAUAUCCAUUUACUGAAGCAGAUUUGUAUAUCUUGAGCUUAUCUUGUAUAGUAAAAUGUAAUAACUGUUUUU